rnacentral:misc_RNA from 1 species
AAGUCGUAACAAGGUUUCCGUAGGUGAACCUGCGGAAGGAUCAUUGACAAAUCUAAAACAUUGUUGCUUGGAGAGAGGGUUCGCGCUCUCCCUUCAAGUAUACAAACCCACAUCCUAACCUGUGAAUUGGCAGUACGCAAGUACUGUUUUAUUGGCAGAGAGAGAAGAGGUGGCGGCAUUGUGUGACUAGCUUGCAUCUUGUUGUUGUCCUCCUCUCUCGUAAGCCUUUAAACAUUUACGUAAACAAUUGUCUUAACAAAACAAAUAAAAGUACAACUUUUAGCAAUGGAUCUCUUGGCUUCU